rnacentral:rRNA from 1 species
CAGCCGCCGCGGUAAUACGAAGGGUGCAAGCGUUACUCGGAAUUACUGGGCGUAAAGCGUGCGUAGGCGGUUUGUUAAGUCUGUUGUGAAAUCCCCGGGCUCAACCUGGGAAUGGCAAUGGAUACUGGCAAGCUAGAGUGUGUCAGAGGAUGGUGGAAUUCCCGGUGUAGCGGUGAAAUGCGUAGAGAUCGGGAGGAACAUCAGUGGCGAAGGCGGCCAUCUGGGACAACACUGACGCUGAGGCACGAAAGCGUGGGGAGCAAACAGGAUUAGAUACCCCAGUAGUCCCUGUCUCUUAUAC